AGCCAGCAAGGGGGGUGGGGACAUGGGGUACCCGGGCAGAUGAACAGAGAGAGGCUGCCAGACUGACUUGGUGGCACCUGCAAGGAGACCAGGGCUGUGGAUCUGGGGGAGGGUGUAGCAGACACGUUCCAGCCUGAAGAUGUUUUUUAGAUUUAUUUAUUUUGCUUGAAAGGCAACGAGAGAGAAAGAGGGAGAAAAUGAGAUUUUCCAUCUACUAGUUCAUUUCCCAAAUGGCUACAAUGGCCAGGACUGGGCCAUGUUGAAGCCAGGCACCCAGAACUCCAUCUGGGUCUCCCAUGUGGGUGGCAGGGGCCCAAGCACUUGGGCCAUCUCCUGCUGCCUUCCCAGGUGCAUUAGCAGGGAGCCGGCACCAGAACUGAAGAUUUUGGACACAGGGGAGUACCCGAGCUUCGGGUCUGUUGGUCUUUAGAGUGUCAGAAGGGAACCCCGUAGUUGUGGGGAGAAUUAGAAGGUCCGGAUGGUUUUGGGAUGAGACAGGAUGCAUGGCUUUCGGUGAGAAGGGACAUAGGUUUAGGGGUCUUGGGAGGGGCGGGUCCAGAGGUGUGGAUUUGGAGCUCUGGGGGCAAGGAAGGGCCCAGCACUGUGGAGUCCCCGGGAGGAGAGGGGAGAGAGCUCUAGAGUGAAGCUACUUUUUUUUUUUUUAUGAUUUAUUUUAUUUAUUUGAAAGAGUUACAGAGUGAGGCAGAAACAGAGGGGGGGGGUCUUCCAUCCGCUAGUCCACUCCCCAAAUGACCACACUGGCUGGAGCUGCACCAAUCCGAAGCCAAGGGGUUCUUCCGGGCCUCCCACCUGGGUGCAGGGGCCCAAGGACUUGGGCCACCUUCUACUGCUUUCCCAGGCCAUAGCAGAGAGCUGGAUCGGAAGUGGAGCAGCCGGGACUUGAACCAGUGCCCAAAUGAGAUGCCAGUGCUGCAGGCCGGGGCUUUAACCUGCUGUGCCACAGCACCAGCCCUUGGAGCUGCCUUUUGAUCUGUUCUCUACUGAUGCCCAGAAUCCUCCUCAGAGCCUCGCAGUGAGGCCAGGGCGCACGCCAUAGAAUCCCCACCACCCAUCUCUGGCUGGGAAAGGGUGGCUGAGCUGAGCCACAUUUUGGUGGAACUUGUCCCAGAACUGGAGAAGACUGACUCAUGGCCAUAGCUGGCAGAGGUGCCGGCCCACACAUCAGCAAACAGCAAAAACAACCACUCACAUGGCGGAAAAGUCCCAGCCGUCCUGAGGGUCAUAAUUAGCUGGUUUCCCACUCAGGGCUGGGCUCAUGGUGUCAUUGCUGUUGUCACUUUUUUAUUACCAGUGUCUCCUGCUUUCUGGCUUUUCCUGAGGACAGGAAAGAGAGAGAGGGCAGGGGGUGCCGUGAGUGCCCCUUAAGCCAAAGGCCUUGCACUCCGGGCGCUCCCACCCUGCGCCCCCAGUGUCCCCAUUCUGGGCUCUGCUUUCCCGACCUGUGGGAAGGGAGUUUAGGGGAAGCGACGGCCACAUCUCGUCCAGGGAUGACCUCUGGGUUUUUGAGAGGCUGCUGUGGGCAGGCAGAGGUCUGGGUGACCCCAGUGCUGGGAGCAGCGUGGACCUGGGCCACGAGGGUGGGAGUGGAGAGGGAUGAGUGGCCCUGCUGGCCUCCUCUCCUCACAGUUCCCCCUUGAUGAGGACAUGGCCAGAGCUUGCUGUGCUGCGGGAGGACAGGGUCCACGUGGGCAGGGUCUUACAGAAUCUUUGUAACAACAGGGCUGGAUCGGCGCCAUCCCCAUGGGGUGCCACAGGUGGCAAGGAGCUGGGUGAGGGGCGCUGUCUUGCCCCUUCUCCCUUCACGGACUGCCCAGUCCACCGUGGGGGUCAUGUGAGGACCAAGCUCAGCAGCAGCAGGGGACACAGCGUUAACGCUGGCCAUUGGGUCUCCCCAGGGAGGGGACUGGCGUUGGCACAUUGGCACUGGACUUGAUGCCAGGAGACUAUUGGUAGAGGCAAAGACCCUGGUGCCAAGGGGGCUCUGGGUGUGGGCUCGGGGCAGGGGGUGCCGGUCGGGAGGGCGUCAGGACGCGGUACCAUGUUGUAGCUCCACCCCAAGAGGGGCCCCUGGUGGGCCCAGGGCAGAUGCUGGGGUCAGGCUCCUCAGGUUGCAUCCUGCCCCAAGGCCCCUAACUUUGGACGAGUGGUGUUGGGUGAGGUUGGCACUCCCCAGCCUGGCAUCCUGUUCAAUGUGUUCUGAGAUCUGUGGGGAGGGCACAGGGGGCAGGGCACAAAGCAGGAAGAGGAAAGCUGUUGAUUCUGGAGGGAGAAGAGGUGGGGAAGGCGGAUUAGCGCGCGCAGGUAUCAGUCCCCUAAUCCUGGUCAGCAGCCUGCACCUGUGCUGGCUCCCAGCCUGGGUGCCUCCUUUUUCCCCUGGAGCCUCAGAAAGCAGGGAGGGGGGGACCCUGGGGAGUCUGUUUCUUAAUGAAGUUGGCACCAGGAAGGGAACCGAGUGUUCAAAUAGGCUGCUGGGAGCCGGCCAGGGAGGGGGCGGAGGUCUGGACGGGAGAACUUGGGGACAGUGAGGUCAAGAGGGUUUGGCCUUGUUGAUGAGCUCAGUGCCUGCAGUCACAUGGGAGGGACAGGUGCCGGUCUGCAGGUGACUGAGGGACCGGCUGCUGGUAUGGGGGACCCAGGAAAUCCUUUCCCCUCCUGGGGCCUCAGUUUCCCCUUCUGGAUGAAUGGGUAAGAGCAAGGUUCCCUGUUGCGACUCUGAGUAAGCCACUUCCCAUCCUAAUGACAGAGUGUUCCAGGGGCUUCGGAGAGGAGCGCGUGGGCGGAUGGGUGUGAGUGCUGUGCAGUUUGUUAGACACUGGCGGCCUGGAGGAGAAAGGGGAUGAGGUGGGCGCUUCCCAGAGCGCCCUUCUGGCUUUUGCAUUCUCCGCCCUCCAGGCGAGGGGGAAGGGAGAGGGGCUUGCAGGAACGUCUCUCCCCACACCUCCCUCGGCACCGCCAAGCCCUCCAGAGCUCUAGGCAGGCGCUGAGCAGUGAUCGUCUGGGCUUGGAGGUUGACGCUGGAUCAGGCACCACCUAGGAGGGUCCGUCAGUGCUGGGCCCUCAGGCUACUCUGAAGGAGCCUGGGACAUGGGACUUCCUCCUCGCCUCUGUCCACCGUGGCGAGUCAGCCCUGCUGCUCCAGCUCCCGCGUGCUCCUGGAGCUUGUGUGUGUGCUGUCUUCUCCCAGGUGCCCCUGCCGCAUUCCUCCUUAUCUGUGCAUCUGUCUGUGUGGGCUCUCCCAGGUGCGUGCAUGGCGUGUCCAUGUGUAUGUUUCGGUGUGUCCACGUUGGCAGGUGAAUUUGCUUAUGCACUAGUCUUCCCGGGGUGUGUGCUUGAACAUAAGUGGUCUCCAGGCCUGUUUGUGUCCACCGGUGCCCAUCGGAGUGCACAUGUCCAUGGUGGUGUCCCUGAAUUCCUGCCAGUCUCUGCAGCUGUCUGUCUGUCCAAGUGGGUAGCAUGAGGACACACGUGCUUUGGGAUUUGCCUGUCGGGGACCUGUCUCUGGCAUACGUCUCCGUGUCCAGCCUGAGGAGUAGCUGCACCCUCCCAUCUGUGUGUUCACAUGAGCCCGUGGGUGUUGUGUGUGUGUGUGUGUGUGUGUGCCCUGUUGUGUGCAUGUGAGCGUCUGAGACCUGCCUGUGCCUGUUCAGAUUCAAGCCCGGCCUGGCCCAGCUCCAUCUCUCAUCUUAGAAAAGCACACAGUUCCCUCUGUGUUUCAGAAGUUGACUUCCCUCAAGGUCACACUGAAUGGAAAAGGCCUCCAGGGGACAGGUGUGUCCUCAGGUUGGACACAUGGGAAUAUCCUCUCUCCCACGGUAUCGCUCCCAGCCUCUUAGUGUAUAAUCGACACGGCCAACAGCGCCAGUGGAGCAGUGCUGAGAGCGCCCGUGCAGGCCAGCCCUGUGCCGGGUGACACAGAGGUGACACCGAGCACCCACUCCCGGGGGAGGCGGGUUCAUCUGCAGACAGGGACACCAGGGGGACAGUGCUGAGGUGGGGUGGCCCCAGCUGAGCGGCCGGGCCUGCCGUGGGGAAGGGCAGGUGCUGCAGGAAUCCAGGACUGGCUCCUGACUGGGCUUCUGGGGUGCAGGGGAGGCCACUAGAGGGCAAGGCAGGGGUGCUCUCCGGAGAGGUGGGGUUCAGAGCUGGAGUUCCAGGUGGGGUGGGGGGAGCAGCCUGCACAGACUGCUGGGACUGUGUUCAGCCAGCUGUCACUGAUUUGGGGACCCAUGGCAGAACAGACUUAGGGUAGCAGAUGUGAGGUCUGGUUUGGACAGGUUAGAGAAGCAGGCCUGGUCACUGUUUUUUGGGAUUUCUUAGUCUAGUGGGAGAGCACACCCAGAUAAACUAAAGCCUCCAAUGGUACCAUUACUAUUUUAAAAAUUUUGGGAGGGCCUGCUCUGUGGCGUAGAGGGUAAGGCCGCCACCUGCAGUGCUGGCAUCCCAUGUGGGUCCCAGUUCAAGUCCUGGCUACUCCACUUCCAAUCCCGCUCUCUGCUGUGGCCUGGGAAAGCAGUAGAAUAUGGCCCAGUGCUUGGGGCCCUGCACCCACGUGGGAGACCCGGAAGAAGCUCCUGGCUCCUGCCUUCGGAUCAGCUCAGCUCCAGCCAUUACAGCCAUCUGGGGAGUGAACCAGCGGAUGGCAGAUAGCUCUCUCUCUUGCUCCCCUCUCCUCUCUCCUCUCUCUCUGCCUCUCUUUCCCUCUAAUUCUGACUUUCAAAUAAAUAAAUACUCUUUAAAAACGGGCUGAAAUUAAUAUCACCUAGAACGGCUUUAGAGCGCGCAGUUCAGGCACUUUAGGCACGCAGUGCUGCGCAUCCACCGCCUCGGACAUCUGAUUCCCAAACUCCUCCAGCCGGGCUCUCAGGGCGCCCCUGUGCGCAGGGCACACCCGCCCACCGCCCACCGCUCCUGGAGCUCUUCUCUCCCCGUGAGCAGCUUUCUGGGCGCCUGUUCUGCACCAGUCACUGUGGCAGCGGGGGUGGGGGUGGGGGGUGGGGAGGGCUGCUGUCUCCCUGUGCAAGGGAGGUAGGGGGGCCGGCAGGCUGGAGGAGCUUGGCUGGGGUCCCACGGCCAGCGAGGGGGCAGCGCCCACCCGGCUCCUCACCUGCACGGGCGCUCCUGCUUGCACCACCGCUCUGGGGUUCCGCGCACGCCCCGGCGGGACUCUGUCUCAGGACACUGUCACAACAAAGCUCUGUAAAGUCAACGAGACGGAGACUGCAGCCCCCACGAGAAACCGCGGCCAUGGCCUUCGCUCCUGGCUGCCCCCUCGCCGCCUGGCAGCUCCCGCGUGGCGGUGGCCGUGGCUGUCUGUGCUUUGGCGUCAGCGCGCACAAUGAGGCGGGGUUCGUCUCCGUCCUGCAGGUUUAGGAAAUGUUAGGACCACGCCCCGCUGGUCCAGUCCCGUGGGACAGCGCUGAUUCCCAGUGACCGGAAGCUUGGUCCACUUAUUAUUAUUAUUGUUAUUAUUAUUAUUUCCGUCAGAAUUGUGCAAGCUGAGCUGGUUCGAUCUCUGUGGUGUUUCUCUUGUUUGAAUUAGGACAGAGACAAAAUUCAUUUCUUCUUUCUUUGCAAAUUUCUGUGGGUUGUCUGCUGCUGUGUGGGUUAUGUCUUUAACAUCAUCUCGUUCUUUUUUAUUUUAAAGAUUUAUUUAUUUGAAAGGCGGAGUAAUCGGCCCGGUGCUGUGGCACAGUGGGUAAAGCUGCUGCCUGCAGUUCUGGCAUCCCAUAUGGACGCUGGUUCAAGUCCUGGCUGUUCCACUUCCAAUCCGGCUCUCUGCAGUGGCCUGGGAAAGCAGUGGAAGAUGGCCCAGGUGCUUGGGUCUUUGCACCCAUGUGGGAAAGCUGGAGGAAGCUCCUGGCUCCUGGCUUCAGAUUGGCUCAGCUCUGGCCGUUGUGGCCAUUUGAGGAGUGAACCAGCGGAUGGAAGACUUUUCUCUGUGUCUGCCUCUGCCUCUCUGUAACUCUGCCUUUCAAAUAAAUAAAUCUUUUUUUUUUUUCUUAAACAGAAGAGUUACAAUGGGGUGGGGGAGAGAGGGAGGGAGAGAGGAGAGAGAUCUUCCAUCCACUGGUUUACUCCCCAAAUGGCCACAAUGGCCAGGGUUGGGCCAGGCUGAAGCCAGGAGUCUGGAACUAUCUGGGGCUCCCUCAUGGGUGUCAGAGGCUCAUGGACUUGGUCCAUCUUCCCCGUUUCCCCCGCUGCAUUAGCAUGGAGCUGCAUUGGAAGCAGAGCAGCCGGGACUCACGCUAGCACCCUGAUAGUAAUCCAUGCACCACAACAUAGCAUCUGUGUUUUGCUUUUGUGAAAUGGCUUUUGGUCUGAAGGCAGGCUCUGGGCUGUGCCAGAGAGAAACUUGCAGGGCAGGUGACUGCUGCAGCACUUGCUGGCGGUGGUGGUGGCAUCUAAAGGACAGAGCCAGAGAGGAGUCCUGCAUUCCAUGUGUAAGCCCUGUCCCAAGUUGUGACAGAUUGUGGGAUUGUUUAUGCAUUAGAAACCCCAAGGUCCUUAGCUAAAGCUCACAGGACUGAAUUGAAAUCUCAGAGCUCGGGGAACUUAGCCAAGGUAACUGACUUUGAAAAGAAAUACAUCAGUAUUUUCAACAGAACUUAAGAGAACCCAGAGUCUUUACCACGUGUCACCUGUCAUAACCAGGGUCACAUCCAAGAUUAGUUGGCAUAGGAGAUACAGGAGAAUGUGACCCAUACCCAGAAUAGACCACUGAUGGAGGCCCAUCCUGGGAUGACCUUCAAGUUGGAAUUUAGGGUGUAAGAUUUUUAAAAAAUAUUUACUUAUUUAUUUGAAAGAUAGAUUUACAGAGAGGCAGAAACAGAGAGAGAGAGAGAGAGAGAGAGAGGGAAGGGGAGAGAGAGAGAGAGAGAGAGAGAGAGAGAGAGGUUUUUAAUCCAUUGGCUUACUCCCCAAAUAGCCACAACAGCCAGAGCUGCACUAAUCCAAAGCCAGGAGCUUCCUCCGGGUCUCCCACGUGGGUGCAGGGGCCCAAGGACUUGGGCCAUCUUCUACUGCUUCCCCAGGCCACAUCAGAGAGCUGGAUCAGAUGAGGAGCAGCUGAGACUUGAACUGGUGCCCAUAGGGGAUGCUGGCACUGCAGGUGGUGGCUUUACCUGCUACGCCACAGUACUGGCCAUGUGAUAAGAUUUUUUAAAAAUUGUAUUUUUACUUAAAUGAAAGAGAGAGAGAGAGAGAGAGAGAGAGAGAGAGAGAGAGAGAGAAUCUUCCAUUGUUUCACUUCCCAAAUGCCUGCAACAACCAGGACUGGGCCAGGCUGAAUCCAGGAGCCAGAACUCCACCAGGUCUCCCACGUGGGUGGCAGGGACUCAAGCACUGAUGCCAUCACCCGCUACUUCUCAGGUUGCACGUUAGCAGGAAGCUGGAACUGGAAGCAGAGCUGGAACUGAAAACCAGGCGCUCCCGUGUGAGCUGCAGGUGGCCCAAGCAGCCUCUUAGCCGCUGCGCCCAUGUCUGCCUGAGAAGGUUUUGAAAUCAGCCAUUGUAUUUAGGGUCAAGGAUGUAGAAGUGGUGCUGAGGAGCACAAGGAUUUGAUCCUUGACCCUACCUCCUGACCCUGCAGCUCGCUGGAGGUGGCAGAAUGAGCAGGCCUCUUCGGAGAGGAUGUUAGGGAAAGCCAUGCUCCUGUGAGAACAAUUUUAAGCAAUGUUGGGAAAUGGAGAGCAAGUUUGCACAAGCAGUGGAUCUAUUAAACAAAUAUUAAGGGAUCAUCUGCCCGUGCCAAGCGCUAUCUAUCUGCUGGGGAUAUAGUCCUCAACAAAGCGGUCCAAACUCCGAUCCCUCUGAACAGUGUCCAGGAAUUUAGAUGAAAGAGUAUUCUGCAAGAACAUACUUUGGGAAGCAGGCACAGAAACAGAGGGCCUUGCUGGUUCACUCUUAAGGCUCAUCAUGACAGCAUGGGCUUUCUGCAGUAUCUCCUUCAAGAAUUUCCAGGGCCAGCUGUGUAGCAUAGUGAGCUAAGCAGAUACCAUGACACCAGCAUCUCCUAUGGGCGCAAGUUCGUGCUCUGGAUGCACCACUUCCAAUCCAGCCCCCUGCUGAUGGCCUGAGAAAAGCAGGGGAGGACGGCCCAGCCGUUUGGGCCACUGCCACCCACGUGAGAGAUCUGAAUGAAGCUCCUGGCUUUGACCUGGCCAUUGGGGCCAUCUGGGGAAUGAACGAGGGGCUGGGAAAUCUCCCUCUCUCUCUGUCCCUCUCUUUCUGUGACUCUGAUUUUCAAAUAAAUCUUUUUUAAAAAAAUUUUUGGCCAGUGCUGCGGCUUACUAGGCCAAUCCUCCGCCUGUGGCGCCGGCACACCGGGUUCUAGUCCUGGUCGGGGUGCCGGAUUCUGUCCCGGUUGCUCCUCUUCCAGUCCAGCUCUCUGCUGUGGCCCGGGAGAGCAGUGGAGGAUGGCCCAAGUCCUUGGGCCCUGCACCUACUUGGGAGACCAGGAGAAGUACCUGGCUCCUGGCUUCGGAUCAGUGUGGUACACUGGCCGCAGCGCGCCGGUUGCAGCAGCCAUUAGAGAGGGUGAACCAAUGGUAAAGGAAGACCUUUCUCUCUCUCUCUCUCUCUCUCUCUCACUGUCCACUCUGCCUGUCUAAAAAAAAAAAAAAAAAGAAAAAAGAAAAGAAAAGAAAAGAAAAAAAGAAAUUUUCAGGCUCUACCUCUUAUCCAGUCCCAAAGCCACUUCUACAUUUUAGGUAUCUGUUAUUACAACACCCCACUCCCAGGCCACCCUGGUACCAACCCACAACUGCCAGGGCUGGGCCAGGCUAAAGUCAGGGUCCUGGAACUCAAUUAAGGUUUCCAUGGUAGAUGGCAGGGACCCCAGUAUUGAGCCAUCACCUGUUGCCUCCCAGGGUGCACAUUAGUAGGAAGCUGGAUUGGAAGUUGAGACAGGACAUGAACCCAGGCGCUCCUCUAUGGGAUAUGAGUGUCGGGAUAUGACAGAAGGCACCCGCAGAAGGCACCCAGUUAGGAGAAACACACUUGGGUAUUUGGUGGGAAAAAUCUAAGCAGCAAAAUGUUUGGGGUGCUGUAUGCUUUUCCUAACUUAAUGGUAAAAAAAAAAAAAAAAAAAAAAAAAAAAAAAAAAAAAAAGAGGAACCAGGUAAAGAUGGAAUUCAUAAUCAAAAGGGAAGUGGAACAUUAACAUUUGGAAGACUCUCCAUCUUGGAGAGAACACCAGGGGUGUGGCCAAGCAGCCAUUUGCUAGAGAUUAGUGGGGCUGGAAAGAACUCAGGUGUUGUUCGACAAGACGGGGGGUGCGGGGUGACCCCAGGGGCAUUGCAGAGAACUUCAAGGCUGCCAGGCCUGUCACAGGCCCAGGGCACCAGGCCCUGAAAGAGAAGGAUUUCCAGUGAGGGGAGCAGGGCGCUUGUGGGAUCUUGGCUCUUACUGCUCAGGGCCACCCCGUGUCUCUCCAGGGCACUCUCUCAGGUGGGGCUGCACGUGGCUUGGGCUGCUGUUGUGGAGGGUGCACGCGGUGAGCCACGGCAGCCUCCUUGCUGUCCUGGUCCUGCAGCUGUGCAGGGUGCAUGACCAUGGAGGUGCGGCUGCCUCCCCCUAGGGGUCAAAGGAUGCUUCUGGAAACCACAGGGCCCAGGUAGAGACCAGUCUCGGGGGUGGGGACUCCCAACCACGUCACCGUUUUACACUCGCCCCAUCGGCAAACUCUAAACAUGUGAUUAGCAGCGGGCAGAGAGGGCAUGAGGCAGUGGAGACUGACAAUGCCGUGAUCUUGUUGGGACAGUCUGGCUUUGCUCUGCAAACCUGACUCAGGUGGUCCUGUCUAAAUCCGUGAGCCCCAAAGACACUCUUGAAGAAAGGUGCGAAAGAACCCGAGGUGUCCAUUGACGGUAGAAUGCAUCAGUAGACAGUGGUGUUUUCAUAACGUGAAUCCACUCACAUGACAGUCAUCCAUGAAUGAAACAAAUACGGCCACACAUGUCUUUUUUUUUUUUUUUUUUAAUAUGUGACAAGUAGAGUUAUAGACAGAGAAAGAGACAGAGAGAAAGGUCUUCCUUCCGUUGGUUCACCCCCCAAGUGGCCUCUACGGCUGGCGUGCUGCACCAAUCUGAAGCCAGGAGCCAGGUGCUUCCUCCUGGUCUCCCAUGCAGGUACAGGGCCCAAGCACUUGGGCCAUCCUCCACUGCACUCCUGGGCCACAGCAGAGAGCUGGACUGGAAGAAGAGCAACCGGGACAGAAUCCAGCACCCCAACCGGGACUAGAACCCGGGGUGCCAGCACCGCAGGUGGAGGAUUAGCCUAGUGAGCCGCAGCACCAGCUAGCACAGUACUUCUUUUAAAAAAUGUAUAUUUGAGAGACAAAAGGAAAGAGGGAGAGAGAGUAAGUCCUUUUGCUGGUUCACUCCUCAAAUGCCCUCAAAGGUGAGGGCUGGGCCAGGGCCAAAGCCAGGAGCCAGAAGCUCAGUUCAGGUCUCCCGGGGGGUGGUAGGAACUACUUGAGCCUUUACCACUACCUUCCAGGAUCUGCAUUAGCAGGAAACUGGAGUCAGGAGCUGGAGUCGAGUAUCAAACGCAGGUUCUAUGACAUGGGACACGGGCAUCUUAACCACGUCCCACUGCUGGGCUCAACACCCACCUCAGAACCUAUCCUAUGUAAUGAUGCUUGUUGCAAGCGCCACUCACCACGCAGCUCAAGAAGGCUAAUGCGACGUGUCGGAGCACGGGGAAGAAUCACACAGAAUCAAUAUAAUUUCAAUAUCAUUCAUUAUUCAAUAUUCAAUACCACUCAAUAUAUAUAUUCAAUGCACACAUCUAAAGGUCAAUGCCACUCAAUAUGUUAUUAGUCCACAUAACACACAUCCAGGAAUAAGACAACUUCUAGGAUAUAUCCAGCAAUAGUAAUAAGUGUAACACAUACACAGCAUAAAAGCAUAACCAAUCUAAACACUCAUGGCAAAGGGUGUAAUAUGAAUGCUGCGUUCUCAAGGUUCCUAUCAUGGUCACGAAAAGUCAAAGUCCAAAGUCCAGAGUCCAGAGUCUCUGUUAGCACUCGGAGAGACGGAUUUCAGAACAGUCACUUAUGGACAGCAGUCGUGGGAUGACUGGCACUCUGGGCAGCAGGCUCGACGGUGAAGAGUUGGAGAAGUCACCGAUGAGAAGUCCGGUCCAGAUCUGAUGUCAGCUCCAGCAGUGGCUGGGAUGUCCAGGCGAGGUGGGCUCCAGCGAGUGGCGAGCAGAGCUUCAGUCAGUGACGACGCGGGCAGAGUUUCACUUGCACUGAGCCGUGGUCCCCCAGGGGAUGAGAGCUGGUGUGAGGCUUGUUAUCCUUGCUCUGGGGUAGGUGGGCAGUGAAGGGGCCCUGGGGUGUCACCAACCACAGACUCAUCUUUUUGGGUGUCACCAACCAGAUGUUGGUGUCUGGGUGUGGCUGAUGGUGUGUUGGGGGUCUCCUGGGUGUGACCGAUCAUGGUGCAGUAGUGUGGGUGAGGUAAUGCAGUAGCCGGCUGGUUGGCUUCUUCUUAGGAUGUAAUGUCCCCCAGUCCUCAUCAGGCCUCACCGCCUGUGUCUGUUCUGACAGAUGCUGGUGCUUAGUGGCCUUAGCUUAAGUAACUCCAUUUUCGUUUUGCUUUUUCGCUUUCUUUUCGGGUUAGUGGCACUCCGUAACUCUUUUGGGACGCCUGUGGGAUUCUGCACAGCACUUUGGUACUCAUUAUCCAAAUCUCUUCUUUGCCCCCUUCCCCCAUCCUCCCCAGCUUCUAGGUAUUCCUGUUUUCAGUCCAGGUAGACAUUUAAAAACGCUCAUGUAUGAGAGAGGAUAUGUGGUAUCUGUCUUAUUUCACUUAACAUAGUGAUCUCAAGUUCCAUCCAUGUUGCUGCAAAUGUCAGGAUUUCAUUCUUUUUUAUGGCUCAGUAAUAUUCCACUGUGCUUGUAUACCACAUCUUUUUUAUCCGUUCACCCGUUGGUGGACAAUUAGGUUGAUUCCAUGUCCUGAGUACCGAGAACAGUGCUGUCAUGGACAUGGAGUGUAGGUGUUUCUUUGACAGCCUGACUUCAUGUCCUUUGGGUACCUACCCAGAAGUAGGGUAGCUGGGUCAUAUGGUAGAUCUAGUUUUAGUUUUCUGUUCUCCACAAUGGCUCUACCAAUUUGCACCCCUACCGCCUGUGUAUAAGCGCUCCCUUUCCUCUACAUUCUCACUGGCAUUUGUUAGUUUUCUCUUUUUGAUAAUAGUUGUUCCAGCUGGACUGAGAUAUCGCAUCAUGGUUUUGAUCUGUAUUUCCCUGAUAGCUAGUGAUACUGAAAAUUUCUUCAUGUACUGUUUGGCUUUUUGUGUUCUUCAGUUCCUCCAUCUAUUUCUUUUCUUUUCUUUUUUCUUUUCUUUUCUUUUCUUUUCUUUUCUUUUCUUUUCUUUUCUUUUCUUUUUUUUGACAGGCAGAGUGGACAGUGAGAGAGAGAGGGACAGAGAGAAAGGUCUUCCUUUUGCCGUUGGUUCACCCUCCAAUGGCCGCUGUGGCCGGCACGCUGUGGCCAGCGCACCGCGCUGAUCCGAAGCCAGGAGCCAGGUACUUCUGGUCUCCCAUGGGGUGCAGGGCCCUUGGGCCAUCCUCCACUGCACUCCCGGGCCACAGCAGAGAGCUGGCCUGGAAGAGGGGCAACCGGGACAGAAUCCGGCGCCCCGACCGGGACUAGAACCUGGUGUGCCAGCGCCGCAAGGCGGAGGAUUAGCCUAGUGAGCCGCGGCGCCGGCCGCUCCAUCUAUUUCUUAACUGGAGUGUUUUUCUUGUUGUUGAGGGUUUUUUUAGUUCUUUAUAAAUUCUGUGUAUUAAUCCUUUGUCAGAUGAAUAGUUUAAAAUAUUUUCACCCAUUUCUGUUGGUCCUCUCUUCAUCAGGGCAACAGACAGAGCGGGAGUGAGAGAAUCUUCCAUCCACUGGUUCACUCUCCAGAGGGAUGCAGCAGCCAGGUCUGGGGAAGACCAGGAACCCCACCCUGGUCUCCCACGUGGGGGUCGGGGCUCUAAGCACUGUGCCAUCUUCAACUGCUUCCCGGGAGCAUCUUCAGGAAGCUGGACUGCGAGCAGGGCAGCCAGGACUCAGUCUGCAGUCCACUGUGUGGUGCCAGCAUCGCAAGUGAUGUUUGACCUGCUAGGCCACAGUAUUGGCCCCAGAAAAUACAACUCCUGAUGCUGAGGAGAAUACUUCUGAAAUAACCCAGUCAGACAGAAACAAAGAAAAAAAUUCAAAAGAACAAAGAAAACCUGCAAACCACAUGAGAUACCGCUAUGCUAACAAAUACUUGCGUUGUGGGUCUAGCUGAAGGAGCGCUGAGGAAAAAGGCAUUGAGAACCAAAAUAAGUUAAAUAAUUAAAUAACUGAAAAUUUCCAAGUAUUGAAAGAGGUAUAGAAAUUCACAUUCAGGAAACUCAAAAGACCCCCAACCAUAAUCAAUCAAAAAUACCCCCUUCAAGGCAUAUUUACUCCAAAAGUCUCAGGUACAGACAAGGAGAGAAUCCUGAAAACAGAAAAGCAUCAAGUUACACAUAAAGAAAGCUCAUUAGGCUAACAGACUUCUCAGUGGAAAUUUUACAGAUCGGAAGAGAAUAAGAUGAUACAGUCAAGGUCUUUUUAAGUGAGAGAGAGAGAAAGAACUUCCAUCUGCUGGUUCCCUCCCUAAAUGUCAGCAAAAGCCAGGGCUGUCCAGGCCAGAGCCAGGACCCCAGAACUCUGUCUGGGUCUCCCAAGAGGGUGGUAGGAACUCAAGUAUUUUGGCCAUCUUUUGCUGUCUUCCCAGGAACAUUAGCAGGAAGCUGGACUACAAGUGUAGCAGUCGGGACUUGAACUCCAAUAUGGGAUGCUGGCAUUACAAGUAGUGUCUUAACCUUUUACACCAUAAUGCUGGCCCCUAUUCAAGGUCUUGAAAGAAAAAAGUACCAACCAACAAUACUAUAUCCAGAGAAACUAUCCUUUAGAAAUGAAAGCGAAAUAAAAUCUUUACCAGAGAAGCAAAAACUGAUGGAAUUCACCACCAGACCAGCCCUACAAAGGGCUAGCACUGUGGUGUAGUAGGCUAAGCUUGUAACACUGGCAUCCCAUAUGGGUGCUGGUUCGAGUCCCAGCUGCUCCACUUCUAAUCCAGCUCCCUGAUAUGGCCUGGGAAAGCAGUAGAAGAUGGUCCAAGUCCUUGGUCUCUGCACCCUACACCCUGCCCUGGGUCUUGCUUAAUCCAUUCAGCCAGUCUCUACCUUUUGACUUGGGAAUGUAAUCCAUUUACAUUCAAGAAUCAUAUUGACAGAUAAGAACUAGCUCUUUCAUUUUGUUGUCUCUUACUGUUUUAUAUAUUCUUUGUUUCAUUCUGACUCUCUUUUAUCUUUGUGUUUUUUAUUACUUUUAUGUGGGAGACCUGGAAGAAACUCCUGGCUUCGGAUCGCUCAGCUCCGGCCGUUGUGGCCAUCUGGGAAGUGAACCAGAGGAUGGAAGACCCCCUCCCCCUCCCCCUCCCCCUCCCUCUCCCUUCCCCUCCCUCUCCCUCCCCCUCUCCCUCUCUCUCUGCUUCUGCCUCUCUGUCAUUCUGCCUUUCAAAUAAAUAAAUAAAUCUUUUUUAAAAAAUUAGAGCAGAAAUAGAAAUGAAAAAGUAACAAAAGCUUAACAAAAUGAAAAGUGUUAUUUUUUAAAAAGAUAAACAAAAUAGACAAACUUUUAGCAAUAGUAACAAAAAAGAAAUCUUAAAUAAAAAAAUUAGAAAUGCAAAAGAAGAAAUUAAGGCUGAGAUCACAAAAUGCAAAGGAGCAGAAGAGACUACUAUAAACAACCAUGUGUUAAUGAAUCAAAAAACGGAAGAAAAGGAUGAAUUCCUGGACACAUACGACUUUCCAAGAUUAAAUCGAGGAUAUGUAGAAAAUCUAAGCAGGCCAAGAACAAGUGAUGAGGUUGAAGCAAUGAUUAAAAGCCUCCCAUCAAAGGAAAGUCCAGGACCUGGCUGUUGGGGAGAACCACACUUGCCAAGGCAGAGGAGUCUGCGUGUGACCAAGAGCAUCGCCCGUGCUGGGUCCCUCAGGCCAGAGGGAGAGUUUUAAUAGUUGCCUCCUGAUGAGCAAAGUCUUCCCAAGAAGUGGCAAUCCCAAGGGCUGCUCCUUUGCCUGCUGAUACCAGCCCAUUGAUAUCUGAUGCACAGAGACGCCAUCAUUCACCCCUGUGAAUGUGAUAGUUGUCAACGCCCUGGUGAGAAGUUCCAAGAGAGGCUUGGGUGGACUGCGGACCACUGAGCUCAGACGGGGAGUGUCUGAAGAUUGUGCAGUAUUCGGGGGGCACUGAAUCUUAAGGGCAUGGAGGUAUUACCAAGUCUCAUCGUCAGCUUUACCUUAAACCUGCAGUGAGAAGGCAUGCCCUGUAUGUGGUGGAAUGAGAAGGUGAAAAGGUCAUGCCAAGAUGGCCGCUGACAACAGAAACUGCCUGGCAACAGGCCAUUAUUGGAUGGCUUCAGAAACCACAUGACAACAGGGCCUGACUGGCAACAGGCUGUGAUUGGAUGGCUUUGGAAACUGCCUGGCAACAGGCUGUGAUUGGUUAGGGCAUAGACCACCCCUUGACUGGAUUGGCUGCCUUGGCUAUAUAAGCAGCUGUAGCAACUGAAAUAAACGAGUCUGUGGGCUGCUCGCCUCUGGGCCGCUUUCACCUGACUCCCAGGGUCUGGGUGGUGACUCCGUGCCUCUUGCCCCCACCACGCUCCUCCUCUCAGAACGAAUCCUCACAAAGAAAUCAACUUCAACAUCAGACCUUCCCUGAUUCCCGGCAGCCAUGGGCUGUGGUCGGUCUCCAUAUGCCAGGUGUUGGUGGAAAAACCCAGGGAGAAAGUCACCCCCUGGUAAAACAUGACUGAUUUCUCUGAUCCCCGGUGCCCCAGUGAGUGUAGUUUGGGGUGCAGUGGGAAGGACUUGACAGAAGUGUGGUGUCUGAGAAACUUUCGUGGCGCUUGCACUGUGUGGCCUCAUUGUGAGUUCCUUGCUUGGAGGGAGGACAUGGGGUGCAAGAAGAGGUGCUGCACUUAAGAAGCAGAAAUGGGGGCUGGCGCUGUGGUGCACCUGCAGUGCCGGCACACCCAUAUAGGUCCUGAUUUGAGUCCUAGCUGCUCCACUUCCAGACUGGCUCCCUUCUGGUGUGUCUGGGGGAGCAGUGGAGGAUGGCCCAAGUACUCGGGCCCUUGCAAACAAAUAGGGGAUCUGGGGGAAGAUCCUGGCUCCUGGCUUCAGACUGGCCCAGCCCUGGCCAUUGUCGCCAUUUGGUGAGCAAACCAGUGGAUGGAAGAUCUCACUGCCUCUCCCUUUCUCUGUAGCUCUGCCUUUCAAAUAAAAUAAAUAAAUCUUUAAAAAAAAAAAAAAAGAAAUAAGGUUUUGGAGGAAGGCAGAUUUCCCAGGGGUUGGGACCUAUUGGGUGGAUGAGGAUCAUGGCCUGGUUCCUCACUCUUAGGUCCUGCACAAAUCUAUUUGCCCCAUCUGACUUCUCUACAGGUAGAAUGAGUGAGGUACAAGAGGAUUGAUACGGCCUUAGAAGCCUGGACUUGAGAACUUUGAGGUUAUGGGUUUCAGUCCCCAUUUGGCCUUGAGUCAAACAUUAAUCCCUUAGCCAUCGACUGAAGACUCUGGGGUUUAAAUGUCUGCGUGAAUUUUGGGAGCAAAAGCCUGUUGAGACCAUACCAUUUGGUCAUAUUUAUCAGGUUUAUUCCUUAUUGUCCAUCUUCCUCUCUAGACUAUAAACUUCAGGGUUUUUUUUUUUUUUUUAAUCUGUAGAUGGAUUCCCAAGUACCUGAAAAGUGCGCUGGUACAUGUUGGGGUGUUGAGGUUGAUUUCUUCUGAGAGGAUUUGUUCUGAGUGAAGGAGCAUGAUGGGAGCAAGAGGCUCGGAGUCACCACACAGACCCCGGGAGUCGCGUGAAAGCAGGCCUGAGGCAAGCAGCCCACAGACUUGUUUAUUUCAGUUGCUACAGCUGCUUAUAUAACCAAAGCCCAGCCAAUACGGUCAAGGUGCGGUCUAUGCCCUAACCAAUUACAGCCUGUUGCCAGGCAGUUUCCAAAGCCAUCCAAUCACGGCCUGCCAUCAGUCAGGCUCUGUGGUCAUGUGGUUUCCUCUGUUGUCAUGUGGUUUCCAAAGCCAUCCAAUCAUGGCCUGUUGCCAGGCAGUUUCUGUUGUCAGCGGCCAUAUUGGCAUGACCUUUUCACCUCCUCAUUCCACCACAUUGGGGUAUUCGAUAAACUUGUUAGAGUAAAUGAAUAUGAGAGGAGUCUUCCAUCAGCUGGGCACAUUGGUGGCAUUUGGAAAUGGAAUAAUGGUAGCUAUGAGCAAUUUAAAUAUUCUUCAAGUUGGAGUAGGGAGAAUAUGGAAUUGGUUGUGAUGGUGAGAGCACCUAGGGAGGCAGGUUUAGGACAAAUGAUGAGGUCAAGGGCAUGGUAGGGGCAGCCAGAGGGUCGAGCGGGGUAGCACACAGUGUGGCCAAAGAGUGGUAGCCAGCGUGGUUGGUCUGAUGGGAAGGAAAUGAGUAACAGGGAAGUCAAAAGGUUAUAGCUCAAGGUUGGCGGUGCCCCACAGUGGUGCUGUACCAUGGAGCACUGGUUUCAUGGCUGCAGGAUGGUCAAAGAGAAGCAGAAAUCCUGUUGAGUGCCUCAGAAAUUGUACAGGACAAGUUGCUACACACACACUGUGUUGUGAGCUGAGAAUGGAGCAAAUUGCUGGACUUUAUCAGUACCCCAUGGGCCUUGAGAGAUUCCAAACUGACCAGUCCGUCCCUGGCCUUGACAGUUCUAUGGCUUGCAACAUUUUUAACCACCACGAUUAGUGUCAGGUUCCAGCACCAGGUUCUGCACCCACCCUUGCUGGUUUCUCAGGAAUCCUGGGCCGUCCUCCCAUCGUUCCCUUUUCUCAUAGUCAGAGUCCCAAUGAUCCUUUCCCUCGGUGAAAUGCAGGUUGGGUUUCUAACAGGACAGAAAUUUAUUUAAUUUUCUUGAAAGUCAGAAUUACAGAGGAAGAGAGAGAGAGAGGUGUCUUUCAUUGCUGGUUCACUCCCCAAAUGGCUGCACUGGCUGGAGCUGGGCCCAUCUGAAGCCAGGAGCUUCCUCUGGGUCUCCCACAUGGGUGCAAGGGCCCAAGGACUUGGGCCAUCUUCCAUUGCUUUCGCAGGCCAUAGCAGAGUGCUGGAUUGAAAGUAGAGCAGCUGGGACUUGAACCAGCACCUAUAUGGGAUGCUGGCACUGCAGGCAGUGGCUUUACCCUGCUCUGCUACAGCACCAGCCCCAAAACUCCUACUUUAUGUUCACUUCUUUUGUGAUCUUAGCUCACCAUCCUGGUGAUGAUCAUGGAUUCUGGAGGGAAACCCAGUGGUGUCCCUCUAGCCCGUGGGACUUGGGAUGGUGUCAGAUACCAGGAACCCCCUUUUCCUGUAUGAAGCCCCAAUGGCUCAGGGACUUCCACAGGUGAGCCUUCUGAGCCCCGGUCCACCCACUUUGGGUUGAGGCCCAUUUUCUGCAGGUGUCUCCCUCUGGGAAGGAAGGAAUUCCUUCAUCAAGGGUGAGGUGGGUCUUCUGGCCAUCUUCAGGGGCGGUUCCCCCAGGUAAGGUUUGUUUUUCCAGCUGAAGCCAUUUGUUUUCUUGGUGAGAGCUUGGCAAAGAUAAAUGUCAUUUUCCUGUAUCCUAGGGAGUGUGCUAGGCAGAAUGCAGCUUAAACCCACCUAGGGGAGCUGUGCCUGCCAUUGCUAGGCAGAUUCCCACACUUAUUUUCAUUUGUUUCAUAGAAUUGAGCUCUCUGUGACAUCCUGUGGACAUUUCCGAAAUUGCAACUGGAAAUUUUGCGUUGCUUGUGUUGAGGAACAAACAAACAAAAUGAUGAAGGCAUUGGAAGACAGAGGCCCCCGCUCCUCUGACACCCCCAGGAAAGGGUUCCUAGGAGACCAGAAACCUCACAGAUGUGGGAAUUCACAAUCUCUAACACACAGUGGCCACAAAGGGAUCUCCAGAUAAGCGCAUCGGUCUUGUAGGUCAGAAGGAACAGUCCUGGCCCAACAGUUGGUGCCCAUGGGAGCCUGGCCAUCCCAGUGCCUCGGCUCCCACACACCAUGCAGAGGGUGACUAUCAACCCAGCUGGUGACACUCCUGGGAGAGGGGCGCCUGCAGCAGCGCCUGUCACAAGGGACUCACCACUUGGGGUGACUGAAGUGUGCGUGGCCGACUUGGGGAUCUUUUGAUAUCCUCAAGAUAGUCUGUGCACGGGCUUGGAAAAACCAACGAAAACAAAACACCUGUCCCAAACUCUAAACAUUCCUUGCUCAGGGGUACAGGGUUUUCUUUGCUAUCAAGAGAUUGAUAAGAGCCGGCGCCACGGCUCACUAGGCUAAUCCUCCACCUUGCGGCGCCAGUACACCGGGUUCUAGUCCCAGUCGGGGCGCCGGAUUCUGUCCCGGUUGCCCUUCUUCCAGGCCAGCUCUCUGCUGUGGCCCGGGAGUGCAGUGGAGGAUGGCCCAAGUGCUUGGGCCCUGCACCCCAUGGGAGACCAGGAGAAGUACCUGGCUCCUGCCAUCGGAUCAGCGCGGUGCGCCGGCCACAGGGUGCCGGCCGCGGCAACCAUUGGAGGGUGAAGCAACGGCAAAGGAAGACCUCUCACUGUCCACUCUGCCUGUCAAAAAAAAAAUGAGAUUGAUAAGAAACACAGUGGGAUACCCACAUGUUAAAGGAUGCACAGGUCUGCGUCUGGGAGCUCCAGCUGGAUGUGCCCUGCUCUCACACACAUUGGGUUUUUUAAGUCAAAGAGAAUUUUUAAGCUACAAUUAUAAGGUUAGCAUGAAAGGGCUUUUUAGUGUCUCCUCUCUCUCUCUCUGCCAAUUUUGAAUCUGCUGACUUACAUUAAGAUAAUUUUGUUACUUGAGGAUGUGUGGAAGUUUGCUAUUUCUGUCA